AAGCAAGGUGAGGAACUCUAGAGAGAGAAACAGUUUUUCUAGAGAGAGAAAGUCGCAUUUUUUUGCCCUUAAAGUUUUAGAGAGAGAAAGCGAAAGCCAAAAGAAAUCGAAGAUCUCCACAAAACCACAGCUCGAAACCCUAACCUUAACUCUAUUUCUCUCUCUAGAAAUCCCUCUCUCCAUCUCUCUGUGUAUAUGGCGCUGUAUAGAUAUAUGUUGCUGUAUGUAUAGGUCUGUGGAUCGAGAAAAAGAUUCGAUAAAGGUUCGUGCUUUAACCUAAUUUCCUGUGCUUUAGUUCUGUUUUUUUUUUUUUUUGCCCAUAUUGAAUUUCUAUGUGUGUUGGGUUGAUUUGGGAAUGAAAUUAUGGUUUUUCUCUGGGGGUUGUGGUUAUAUAGGAAACCCUAUUUUGGGGUUUGAGGGGAAUUUUGAGGGGAUUAGGGUUUUGAAAGUGGGAAUUUUGAGGAAAUUAGGGCUUUAAAGAGGGAUUGGGAGAAAAUUAGGGUUUUAAAGGGGAAAGUUAGGGUUUUUGGGUGGUACAUGUAUGGCUUCUGGGAGUGUAGUAGAAGCAGGAAAUGAAGGAGGAGAAGUUAGAGAGAAACAAAGGUAUACAGAGAGUAAGGUCUACACUCGAAAAGCCUUUAAAGGACCCAAAAAGAACAGCCUCACCAGCACCAACAAUAACACCGCCACCACCACCGCUGAUAACAAUAACAGUAACACAAACCUAACCACCACUAGCACCGCAGCUGCUGGCAACAACAACGUCAACACCACAGCAACCACUGCCCCUUCUGCAACUGAAACCGCUACUGUUCCAACCACCACCUCCACUGCUGCAACUGAAACUGCAGCUGCUCCAGCUACUCUCUCCACCACUGCAACUAAAAAUGCAACUGCAGCAGCAACUACGACUGCAACUGCAAAUGAAACAAGGGACAGGGACAACAACGAGAAGGAGUUGGUUGAAGUGCGAGAAUCAGAACCUGUAGUGGUAGACAACACGAACACUGCCCAGAAAGUGCAACAGCCUGUUUCUCUCUCAAUUGUAGUUUCUGAUGCUUCCAUCAGCCGAAAUCGGCAGGAAGUUCAGGAGGUGGUGCCUAGUGUGAGAGAGAAAAUUGUGGAGAGGGGACAAGCUGUGGGGAAUGGGGUGUUUCUGAAGGAAGGGCUGGAUAACAAGGUGAAGGUGGAUUUGUUGUCACGGUCAAAGCAGGAGAAGAGGGAGCUCAAAAAGAAGUUGGAGAGUGAGCUUGCUUUGGUUAGGGGUUUGGUGAAGAGGAUUGAGGCUAAAGAAAUGCAGCUUGGUGUUGGUAGGUUGAGUAAUUCACGGGUGGUGCUGGUGAAUGAUAGGGUUGACAAUAGAUUGACGAGGGUUAAUUCAGAAGUGGGAUCAGUGGGUGUUCCCCGUGAGAGUACUACUAUUCUUACUCCUACCCCUAGGCAGUCUAAGCCCUUGAAUCAGCUUAGUAUAUCGGUGCUAGAGAAUAGCCAGGGUGUGGGUGAGUUUGUGGAGAAAGAGAAGAGGACACCAAAAGCAAAUCAGUUUUAUAUGAAUUCAGAGUUCUUGCUUGCAAAAGACAAGUUUCCGCCAGCUGAGAGUAACAAGAAGUCGAAAUUGAUUGGGAAGAAGCAGGGGGCAGGUGAAUCUGGAUAUGGGUUUGGGACAAGCACUAAGAUUUUCAAGAAUUGCAGUACGUUGCUUGAAAAACUGAUGAAGCAUAAGCAUGGUUGGGUGUUUAAUACUCCUGUUGACGCGAAGGGUCUUGGUUUGCAUGAUUACUUUACCAUUAUCAAGCAUCCAAUGGACUUGGGCACGGUGAAGUCCAGGCUGACCAAGAAUUGGUACAAGUCCCCAGAAGAGUUCGCAGAGGAUGUGAGACUUACAUUUCACAAUGCUAUGAAGUAUAACCCGAAAGGGCAAGAUGUUCAUGUAAUGGCAGAACAGUUAUUGGAUAUAUUUGAGACCAAGUGGGCUGUUAUAAAGUCGGAUUAUGAUCUUGAGAUGAGGUUUGCUGCCAGUUAUGAGGUGAGUAUUCCCACUCCCACAUCAAGAAAGGCUCCUCCAUUUGUACCGCCCCCACUUGAUAUGAGGAGGAUUUUGGAUAGAUCAGAAUCAAUGAAUUAUCCUAUUAUUGAUACAAGAUCCAGACCCAAAUCCAUCACCACUACACCUUCUAGUAGAACCCCUGUUCCAAAGAAGCCUAAGGCAAAAGAUCCACAUAAGCGAGACAUGACUUAUGACGAGAAACAGAAGCUUAGUACAAACCUCCAGAGCUUACCUUCAGAGAAACUGGAUAACAUUGUACAGAUAAUAAAGAAGAGGAGUUCAGCACUGUCCCAACAUGAUGAUGAAAUUGAAGUGGAUAUUGACAGUGUUGAUGUGGAGACUCUGUGGGAGCUGGAUAGGUUUGUCACCAACUACAAGAAGAGUUUAAGCAAGAAUAAGAGAAAAGCUGAACUUGCCAUUCAAGCUAGAACAGAGGCUCAGCAGAAUGUGCAGCAGAAGAUCCCAGCAUCAGUUGUGGCGGAGGCACCAAAAGAAACAAAAGCAGAUGAAAGGGACGCCUCCACUUUGUCACCUGUUCAAGUGGAGAAACAGGGAGACAAUGGAAGUAGGUCUAGUAGUUCAAGCAGCUCCAGCAGUGAUUCUGGAUCUUCUUCAAGUGACUCUGACAGUGACAACUCCUCAGCGUCUGGAUCAGAUGUAGGGAAUUAAUUGAGUACUCGAGUAGUUCCGGGUCUCUCAGUGAACAAGAAUGUGAUUGCUCAAGUCAGAGUGUAGUUUGGUGAUUAACCGUUUCUUGCUUAAAGUGUAGUCUAGUCAUAUGGAUCUCAGAAAUUUAGGGUAGAUGGCUAUCCCCAUGUUGGUGAUAUCAUGAAUUCCGGAUUGAAUAGGAAUCUGCCUUUGUUGUACAGUGAAGUUCUCAAGGCGACUGAUUGUCCUGCCAGUGCAAAGUGGAGUCUCUCUUGUUGGAACUGGUUUCUUGAAUCUCCAUGUGGCUUAUCUGUGUAGUCUUGAAUUUGUAUAAUACCCCUUAGAAUGUGGUGAUGAUUAGAUACAGAGUGAUGAUUAGAUACAGUGGUUUGUUUCCCUCAGCAUGUGUACAUGGCUAACAACUUCUAGUCAUUUUAGUUUUAGCUACCGCCCCGUUGAUUUUGUGCUAGCAGAUGCAGGAUUCGUUGGUGUUAUAGAAGAGAUACUCUGUGAUUCAUGCCCAUGAAGUUGUUAUAAUGGCCAAUAAUUUUUCUGAA